rnacentral:rRNA from 1 species
UCGCCACGAGACCGAUAGCGAACAAGUACCGCGAGGGAAAGUUGAAAAGAACUUUGAAGAGAGAGUUCAAGAGUGCGUGAAACCCUUCGGGGGGUAAACGGGUGGGCCCUCGAAGGUCGAACGAGCCCCCGCUCCCGGCACUUGGUUGCAUGCCCUCUGCUGCGAAGAGACCGACUUGAUUUGGCGGCUCUGUUCGUUGGCGAGGACCGCAUUAGCCGCGCCAAGGUCCGCAAGGGGGGGGCUAGUAGGACUCCGCGACCGACUGGGUGUCUGUUAUACGGGGCGUUCGUUAGCGAGUUUUGGGUUACCUCGUGUGCCCUCGACGAGCGCGGCGUCACUCAACAGUACUGCCCGGUCGUGACCUGUCUCCUCCCGGAUUGUCUACGUGUAUCUCGCUAGAGGCUUCGAUCUGGAGCUUCAGGGCUUGGCAUCACGUUGUAGAAAACCGCGGAGGCCCAGAGCGGAGAGUAGAAGUCGGGUCCCACCCGACCCGUCUUGUAACACGGACCAAGGAGUCUAACAUGUGCGCGAGUCGUCGAGUCUAUUACGAAACUCGCGAGGCGCAAUGAAAGUGAAGCGGCCCCGAUGNNNNNNNCGGACGAACCAAGAGCGUACACGUUGGGACCCGAAAGAUGGUGACCUAUGCCUGGCCAGGACGAAGCCAGGGGAAACCCUGGUGGAGGUCCGCAGCGAUUCUGACGUGCAAAUCGAUCGUCGGAGUUGGGUAUAGGGGCGAAAGACUAAUCGAACCAUCUAGUAGCUGGUUCCCCCCGAAGGUUUCCCUCAGGAUAGCUGGUGCUCGCAAAGAGAACAAACGGAGGUUUCAUCCGGUAAAGCGAAUGAUUAGAGGCCUGGGGGCGAAACGACCUCAACCUAUUCUCAAACCUUUCAAUGGGUGAGAAGCCCGGCCUUCCAUUUCUUGAUUGAGGCCGUGGCAAUAAUUUUAUUUUGAAUCUGAGCGCCCAGUUGGGCCAUUUUUGGUAAGCAGAACUGGCGCUGUGGGAUGAACCAAACGCCCGGUUAAGGCGCCUAAACGACGCACAUUUCGGAUCCCACAAAAGGAGUUGGUUGCUAAAGACAGCAGGACGGUGGCCAUGGAGGUCGGAAUCCGCUCAGGAGUGUGUAACAACUCACCUGCCGAAGCAACUAGCCCUUAAAAUGGGAGGCGCUAUAGCGUCGUGCCUAUACCGGGCCGUCGGUCGGCAGUGCGAAUAACGUCCGUGUCAGCUCGCAGAGAGCGACGGCGCUGAGGCCCCGACGAGUGGGGGGUCGCGACGGUGAGCGUUGAAGGGUUGUGGGCGUGAGCCUGCCCGGAGCCGCCGUCGGUGCAGAUCUUGGUGGUAGUAGCAAAUACUCCAGAGGGAUCCUGGAGGACUGACGGCGGAGAAGGGUUUCAUGUGAACAGUGGUUGGACAUGAGUCAGUCGAUCCUAAGCCGCAGGCGAAAGCCGGCCUAGUGACGGGCGUGAUGCUAGUGUGCUCUUUUUCUUUCUCUUUUUUUGGGAGGAUUCGGCGCGCGCUUCUUUCCCUCUUUCGUUUCUAUAGUCCCUAGCCAGAUGGGUGAAAGGAAAGAAAGGAGAGUUGCGUGUUUGUUGAAAAGAACCGGAGGAGAAAAAAAAUCAUGCGAAACUGAAACGUGAGACGCCACCAAGGUUAAGGCGAAAGGGGAUCCGGUCCUGAUUCACACAAACCGGAGAAAGCUGCCGAGAACCCCGGGAAGAGUUUUCUUUCUGCUUGAGGGACCGAGACCCUGGAAUCCCGUCGCCGGGGCGAGAGGGUUAUGGAUUUAGCUGUCAAAGGCUAUCCCGAAGAGCGUCGCGUUUCUGCGACGUCCGUGGUCGUUCUCGGCUGGCCCUUGAAAAUCCGGCGGGAGGGUUACGUUGUUGGACGUUCGCGCCCGUUCGUACCCGAUAUCCGCAUCAGGUCUCCAAGGGUGAACAGCCUCUAGUCGAUGGAUGAAUGUGGGUAAGGGAAAUCGGCAAAUUGGAUCCGUAACUUCGGGAUAAGGAUUGGCUCUGAGGGUCGAGGCGGUCGGGCUGAGUUUAUCAAGCGAAGCCGUCGGCGGACGUGUCAGGCCUGGGUCGAAGCUCUUCCUCACGGGAGAGCUGAGGCUCGGUCCUCGGCCAGAUCGCUGACGGUGGAGCGGCUCGGGCAUCGUCUGCGCGCGUGUGCGGCGGCAACGUCGUGUGCGCGUGUCAGAUCUCGGCCGCCAUCGAACGACCAACUCAGAACUGGCACGAUCCAGGGGAAUCCGACUGUCUAAUUAAAACAAAGCAUUGCGAUGGCCGCAAGUCGGUGCUGACGCAAUGUGAUUUCUUGCCCAGUGCUCUGAAUGUCCAAAGUGAAGAAAUUCAACGAAGCGCGGGUUAACCGGCGGGAGUAACUAUGACUCUCUUAAGGUAGCCAAAUGCCUCGUCAUCUAAUUAGUGACGCGCACGAAUGGAUUAACGAGAUUCCCACUGUCCCUAUCUACUAUCUAGCGAACCCACUGCGAGGGGAACGGGCCUCGUUUUGUCAGCCGGGGAAAGAAGACCCUGGUUGAGCUUGACUCUAGUUCGGCAUUGUGGAGUGACAUGAGAGGUGUAGCAUAAGUGGGAGAUGUGGCCUUCGGGCUCAGCGACGAUGAAAUACCACUACUUUCAUGGUCGCUUCACUUACUCGGUGAAGCGGAGUGGGCGGGUCGCCCGGGUGGGAUCCUUUAACGGUCUCCGUCCGCGGCGUCUCGCUUGAAUUCUUGUGUUGAAGUGCGAGCCGUCCCGGCAGGGGUUGGCAGGCGAGGCGAGGUUGUCGCGGCCUUUUCGCCUGUCUCGUGCAGGCGGGAGGUCGUGGUCGGCCGAGCUUUCUUAGUCUGCUUUCCAUCUCCGGGAAAUUAUUCGGUGGUGCGAUCCGGGCUGAGGACAUUGCCGGAUUGGGAAGUUUGACUGGGGCGGUACAUCUGUCAAACGAUAACGCAGGUGUCCUAAGGCUGGCUCAGGGAGGACAGAAACCUCCCGUAGAGCAAAAGGGCAAAUGCCGGCUUGAUCCCGAUUUUCAGUUGAAGCAAGAGGUGUCAGAAAAGUUACCACAGGGAUAACUGGCUUGUGGCGGCCGAGCGUUCAUAGCGACGUCGCUUUUUGAUCCUUCGAUGUCGGCUCUUCCUAUCAUUGCGAAGCA